rnacentral:rRNA from 1 species
AGUGAACGCUGGCGGUAGGCCUAACACAUGCAAGUCGAACGGCAGCACAGUAAGAGCUUGCUCUUACGGGUGGCGAGUGGCGGACGGGUGAGGAAUACAUCGGAAUCUACUUUUUCGUGGGGGAUAACGUAGGGAAACUUACGCUAAUACCGCAUACGACCUACGGGUGAAAGCAGGGGAUCCUCGGACCUUGCGCGAUUGAAUGAGCCGAUGUCGGAUUAGCUAGUUGGCGGGGUAAAGGCCCACCAAGGCGACGAUCCGUAGCUGGUCUGAGAGGAUGAUCAGCCACACUGGAACUGAGACACGGUCCAGACUCCUACGGGAGGCAGCAGUGGGGAAUAUUGGACAAUGGGCGCAAGCCUGAUCCAGCCAUACCGCGUGAGUGAAGAAGGCCUUCGGGUUGUAAAGCCCUUUUGUUGGGAAAGAAAAGCAGCAGGUUAAUACCCCGCUGUUCUGACGGUACCCAAAGAAUAAGCACCGGCUAACUUCGUG